rnacentral:rRNA from 1 species
CACGUAGGGUGCGAGCGUUGUCCGGAAUUAUUGGGCGUAAAGGGCUCGUAGGCGGUCUGUCGCGUCGGGAGUGAAAACUCAGGGCUUAACCCUGAGCCUGCUUCCGAUACGGGCAGACUAGAGGUAUGCAGGGGAGAACGGAAUUCCUGGUGUAGCGGUGAAAUGCGCAGAUAUCAGGAGGAACACCGGUGGCGAAGGCGGUUCUCUGGGCAUUACCUGACGCUGAGGAGCGAAAGUGUGGGGAGCGAACAGG